AGUGAACGUUGGCGGUAGGCCUAACACAUGCAAGUCGAACGGCAGCACAGUAAGAGCUUGCUCUUACGGGUGGCGAGUGGCGGACGGGUGAGGAAUACAUCGGAAUCUACUUUUUCGUGGGGGAUAACGUAGGGAAACUUACGCUAAUACCGCAUACGACCUACGGGUGAAAGCAGGGGAUCUUCGGACCUUGCGCGAUUGAAUGAGCCGAUGUCGGAUUAGCUAGUUGGCGGGGUAAAGGCCCACCAAGGCGACGAUCCGUAGCUGGUCUGAGAGGAUGAUCAGCCACACUGGAACUGAGACACGGUCCAGACUCCUACGGGAGGCAGCAGUGGGGAAUAUUGGACAAUGGGCGCAAGCCUGAUCCAGCCAUACCGCGUGGGUGAAGAAGGCCUUCGGGUUGUAAAGCCCUUUUGUUGGGAAAGAAAAGAAGCAGGUUAAUACCCCGCUGUUCUGACGGUACCCAAAGAAUAAGCACCGGCUAACUUCGUG
rnacentral:rRNA from 1 species